rnacentral:rRNA from 1 species
AUUGAACGCUGGCGGCAUGCCUUACACAUGCAAGUCGAACGGCAGCACGGGUGCUUGCACCUGGUGGCGAGUGGCGAACGGGUGAGUAAUACAUCGGAACAUGUCCUGUAGUGGGGGAUAGCCCGGCGAAAGCCGGAUUAAUACCGCAUACGAUCUACGGAUGAAAGCGGGGGACCUUCGGGCCUCGCGCUAUAGGGUUGGCCGAUAGCUGAUUAGCUAGUUGGUGGGGUAAAGGCCUACCAAGGCGACGAUCAGUAGCUGGUCUGAGAGGACGACGAGCCCCACUGGGACGGAGACACGGCCCAGACUCCUACGGGAGGCAGCAGUGGGGAAUUUUGGACAAUGGGCGAAAGCCUGAUCCAGCAAUGCCGCGUGUGUGAAGAAGGCCUUCGGGUUGUAAAGCACUUUUGUCCGGAAAGAAAUCCUUGGCUCUAAUACAGUCGGGGGAUGACGGUACCGGAAGAAUAAGCACCGGCUAACUACGUG